rnacentral:tRNA from 1 species
UCCCUGGUGGUCCAGUGGCUAAGACUCUGUGCUGUCAAUACAGGGGACCAGGGUUCCAACCCAGGUCAGGGAA